GUGAAUCAUCGAAUUUUUGAACGCAAAUUGCACUCUCUUCGGAGAGUAUGCCUGUUUGAGGGUCAGCCUAAAAAAAAAUCGACAUAUUCGUGUUUUCGCGUUGACAUUCUUCGGAAAUUGGGUCAUUUUAAACCUUUGGGUUUUAUGAGCAUUAAAAUUUUUUUUUUGAUUCCACGAAGGUUUUUAGUUUUUCUUUCUUGGACGUUUAAGGUA
rnacentral:misc_RNA from 1 species